rnacentral:rRNA from 1 species
UACGUAGGGUGCGAGCGUUGUCCGGAUUUAUUGGGCGUAAAGAGCUCGUAGGCGGUUUGUCGCGUCGGCCGUGAAAUCUCCACGCUUAACGUGGAGCGUGCGGUCGAUACGGGCAGACUUGAGUUCGGUAGGGGAGACUGGAAUUCCUGGUGUAGCGGAGAAAUGCGCAGAUAUCAGGAGGAACACCGGUGGCGAAGGCGGGUCUCUGGGCCGAUACUGACGCUGAGGAGCGAAAGCGUGGGGAGCGAACAGG